GACGAACGCUGGCGGCGUGCUUAACACAUGCAAGUCGAACGUGAUUUUUGUGGAAAUUCUUUCGGGAAUGGAAAUGAAAUGAAAGUGGCGAACGGGUGAGUAACACGUGAGCAACCUACCUUACACAGGGGGAUAGCCGUUGGAAACGACGAUUAAUACCGCAUGAGACCACAGAAUCGCAUGAUAUAGGGGUCAAAGAUUUAUCGGUGUAAGAAGGGCUCGCGUCUGAUUAGCUAGUUGGAAGGGUAAAGGCCUACCAAGGCGACGAUCAGUAGCCGGUCUGAGAGGAUGAACGGCCACAUUGGAACUGAGACACGGUCCAGACUCCUACGGGAGGCAGCAGUGGGGAAUAUUGCACAAUGGGGGGAACCCUGAUGCAGCGACGCCGGGUGGACGAAGAAGGUUUUCGAAUCGUAAAGCUCUGUCCUAUGAGAAGAUAAUGACGGUAUCAUAGGAGGAAGCCCCGGCUAAAUACGUG
rnacentral:rRNA from 1 species